rnacentral:lncRNA from 1 species
UCUCCUCGCAUCUACCGCAGGUUGGAGGGUCAUUUCCGAAGGCACGCACCAGAGGAAAAAAGGAACUGUUCAACAAGUCGACCUCGCGCAUCUAUACGAGAGUCGCCCCACAGGGAGCUGUGCGCAUUGAAAUCGCCAAGUACAACGUAAGGUUCUGGCAAUUGAUCAAUAAAGGAUUGGAAUUCAUGC